rnacentral:rRNA from 1 species
UACGAAGGGGGCUAGCGUUGUUCGGAAUUACUGGGCGUAAAGCGCGCGCAGGCGGUUUUCCAAGUCAGUGGUGAAAGCCCGGAGCUCAACUCCGGAACUGCCAUUGAAACUGUUAAACUUGAGGACGAGAGAGGUGAGUGGAAUUCCCAGUGUAGAGGUAAAAUUCGUAGAUAUUGGGAAGAACACCAGUGGCGAAGGCGGCUCACUGGCUCGUAUCUGACGCUCAGGCGCGAUAGCGUGGGGAUCAAACAGG